ensembl:lncRNA
AAAAGGUAGGUCUUGGCAAAUAAUCAUGACUGAUUUUCUCAUAAGAUGUGAUAUCUAGCUGCUGGUUGUACUGUGUUUAAACAAGGGUUUUUUUUUCUUAAAAUUUGCAGAAAUUUACCAUGGUGAGGGGAAUGAUUCAGGGGAGGACCGUUUAGUCAUCACAGAUAUUAGUUGGAACCUUCUGUGUAUUACACUGGCAGGUGCUUUACUAUGACCUUAGGACUUAAUGGGAAAUGAAUAAUCAGAAUAAUGUGGAAAUAAGUACUGCUCUUGCGUUAUGACUCAAUGUUUUGAAGUGGUUUUGUGUCUUUUCAGGAAGAAUAUGGACACUUCAGGGGGAGUUUAAAGGAAGGAGAACUAAAAAUAUUCCUGAAGAUGCAGAGCAAUUUGCAGGAUAGGAAGCUUAAGGAUGCCAAGAUUAAGAAGUGACUUAGAAAAUAUCUCCUCAGGGGGUCACUGCAGUGUAAAGCAGUGAUGCCUGAGUUAGUUUGGAAUUUAUCUGCAUCUUAUCUGAAGUUAUAUUUCCUCACCUGCUGUUUUAAUUCGAACAAACUCCAUUUCCAACCAGUAGCUCUUAUGCUAUGAAGUUCAUCUACAUUAGCUUUUUUAUGUGCCGCUGUCUCUACAUAUUGAUCAAAGGUUAAUUUGCACUACAGUUACACUCAGUAAAGUGAAACAUACAAUUGCUAACUAGCCAGCCCACAUUUAAGUGAAUUUCUAAUCCCACAUUGGAGCUCACUCUGGGCUGCCUGGUCUGUCUGAUGAGCAGUGUGUGGUUUAGUGGUGCUAGGAGAGAAAGAAAAUUUAAAAUAAAAUAGAAAAGCAGCUACUGAGUUCUACUUAAUUUAAUCAAACACUGUAGAGCUACUGAUCAAGUACCCUGCUGUUUUGCUGUACUGCUUCUGUCAUUUCUUUUGGUAUCGACUCUGUAGGACCAGACCCCCACCCUUGAUUAGAACUGGGAGAAAGAGCCCAGCAAUCCUUCCUUCAAGGUUUCUCUGCUGGGCAGUCAAAAUGGCUUCAGAGAAACAGCUUCUGUGUCAGAGCAAUCCUGAAGACUGGCAAGUGGGCAAUGGUACCUUGGGGUUAGCACAGCACACUUCCUCUUGCCUUUUACACUGGCCCCAAAGACUGAGAUAAGCAAUGCAGAAAAAGAUAAAAAUUACGUUUCCAUUAUUGUGAUUGAUAGCUGACCUUUUGCAUGUGCUCAAAAGACAAAUCAUUGAGAAGUGUACCUGGUACCUACCUGUUUAACGCAGAGGAUGCUUCUUAGGUCAGUGGUGGACUCGGGCAGAGCUCUGCACCUGCUCAGAUGGUGCUUCCAGCUAUGUGACAGGAGAAGCACUUGGAAUGGUGUGCAGGGCUUUGUCUUUACUACUUGCACCCUCUCUGUGGGAAGUGUAGGAGAUGGAGAGGUCAACUUGGCCUCAUCGAAUGUCGGCUCGCUGGUAACGAGGCUCUGGAAAUGAGACAGAAGUUCUGAAUAAACAGGAGUGUUUUGUACCGAGGCAUAAGAUAAACUCUCUGCUGUUUAUGAAGACUUGUUAUGGAAUUUGCUUGCUUUCUAGCCAAUGGAUUGUUAGUGGAAAUGUACUGAAUAUGUAUGUUAGAAUAUAAAAAGGCUUUCUGAGAAGAAUAAGCAUGGAUACACAGCAUCAUGAUCAUCACAGCAACGAAGAAAUCUUCCUGGCAUGAGAACCCUGUGUCGUGUUGCUAACUCACGACAGGAAGCACUUCCCUUCAGCCUGACAUCUUUCAAUACAAACCCUCACAUUACUGUGAGCUGGUGAGAGGCAUACUUCAGUUCCUGAGGUUGCCAAAUACAUAUCAGACCUUUGGGCCUUGAGAAUUGCCUGCCAAUUUGCAUCUAUAUUUGGGGGAAGUGGGGAGCAGUGUUUGAUCUUUUCAUGCCUCCCAGUUCACUCUUUUUACCUUAAUGAACCUUAACAGUUAAAGCAAAUAGGUUUAUUCUAGAAGAGUUGAAUGCUAAAUCCUUACAUUAAAUACUUAAAGCCAUGUAGGGAAGAAAGCUAUAAUGAAGUCUAACUCUAGUGCAAACUUGAGAUUGAGCUUUCUCCUUGACUAACACAAUCUUUUAGGCUGCAGCAGGUAUUCAAGAGAAUGGCUCAGUAGCCCUUCACCAUCUGUGGAAGUCCUAUUUCUGAGGAUAUUUAGACUUUCUCAGUGACAUUUCUAAGAUUGUCACAACAUUAAGUUUCACAACUCUAAUAUUGUUUAAAACACUUCUUACAAUAUUGCAUCAUAUUCGAUGUUUACGACUAUGCAUGUUAUAGUUAUCUGGAUGACAU